rnacentral:rRNA from 1 species
AUUGAACGCUGGCGGCAUGCUUUACACAUGCAAGUCGAACGGCAGCGCGGGCUUCGGCCUGGCGGCGAGUGGCGAACGGGUGAGUAAUACAUCGGAACGUGCCCAGUAGUGGGGGAUAGCUCGGCGAAAGCCGGAUUAAUACCGCAUACGACCUGAGGGUGAAUGCGGGGGAUCUUCGGACCUCGCGCUCUUUGAGUGGCCGAUGGCAGAUUAGCUAGUUGGUGGGGUAAAGGCCUACCAAGGCGACGAUCUGUAGCUGGUCUGAGAGGACGACCAGCCACACUGGGACUGAGACACGGCCCAGACUCCUACGGGAGGCAGCAGUGGGGAAUUUUGGACAAUGGGCGAAAGCCUGAUCCAGCAAUGCCGCGUGUGUGAUGAAGGCCUUCGGGUUGUAAAGCACUUUUGGCGGGAACGAAAAGGACUGUGCCAAUACCACGGUUCGAUGACGGUACCCGCAGAAUAAGCACCGGCUAACUACGUG